AAUUCCGCCCGAUUACAAUAUUUUUGUGUGCUAUUGCCCUCCCUUCCAAGUGGUUCCGGGACCCCCGGACCCCGAUCGCCUAAAAUUUUUCCGGGCCGUCAAAUACGACCUAAGGAACCAUAGUAACCGCCCCGCCAUCAUCGUUCCUCAUUUUUUGCAUUUUUCGGCCAAAAAACUAGAAUUUCGCCCGAUUCCCAUAUUUUCGUGUGCUAUACCAGGCCUUCCAAGUGGUCCGGGGAGCCGCAAACCCCUAUCGCCUAAAAUAUUUUCGGACUAUCAAAUACGACCUAAGGAACCAUAGUAUCCGCCCCGCCAUGAUCGUUCCUCAUUUUUUGCAUUUUUCGGCCAAACAACUAGAAUUUCGCGUGAUUCCCAUAUUUUUGUGUGUUAUAGCCCACGCCUUCCGAGUGGUCCCGGGACCUCCUGACCCCUAUCGCCUAAUAUUUUUCCGGACUAUCAAAUAAGACCAAAGGAACCAUAGUCACCACCCUACCAAGAUCUUUCCACAUUUGUUGCAUGUUACUGAAAAAGACCUAGAAUUUCGCACGAUUCCCAUAUUUUCGUGUGCUAUACCCACGCAUUCCGAGUGGUCCCAAGAGCUGCGGACCCCGAUCGCCUAAAAAUUUUUUCGGGCAAUCAAAUAUGACCUAAAGAACCAUAGUAUCCUCCCCGCCAUGAUCGUUCCUCAUAUUUUACGUUUUUCGGCCAAAGAACUAGAAUUNGUUCGUUUUGACGUGCUUAAUCUUUCUUUUACUAUUUCUAAAUCUUCUUCUAUAUCCAUUUCCUUAUAACUAUAAUCAUUGUUGUCUAUAACUGAUACUAUUCUUUCAAAUGGAUUUUCUAUUUUUAUUUUAUUUAUUUUAUUUUUAGUUGUUAUCUUAUGUUUUGUUGUUAAAACAUAUAGAUUUUUACAUAUUGCUGUAAAUAUCUUACUUCCUGGUGCUAGUUCUAUUCCAGACAUUUUCUAGUAUAGUACUAAUGAUUUAUCUAUAUUUUUAUCAUCUAUUGCUACUGAAUAGUUGGCACUUAUUAUGAAUUUGAAUUUUUGGUAUAUUAAGUUACCUCUUACUGCACUUAUUAUACUCUUUUCUAUAGGUUGUACAAUUCUAUCGUCUGCCAAGUAUAUUUCUAUAGGGGUAUCUAUUCCUUCUCUAAAACAUGCUUUUAUUAGUAUCUCUGUUCCUCCUAAGUGUACAUAUUUUAUUGGAUUUUUUGCUUUUAUAUCUUGUAUUUCUUUGUUUAAUAGUUUUUUAUUUAAAAUUGGUAUUCUUGCUUUACCUUUAAUGUAUUUACAGUCUAUUAUGUGUUCUCUUUGGCUUACUACAUAGUAUUCUUCUUUUUGUCUUUUAAACCAAUUCUUUAUUGUUGGUACUUCUAAUAUUUUGUCUAUGCUUAGAUCCAAUUCUUUUCCUUUUAUUUGUUCAAAUAUAGUGGCGUCAAAAAUUAUUUUUUGUUCUGAAGAUUGUUCAUCUUGGUGUUCUUCUUGUUGUAUAAUUUGUAUGUCUUAGUCAUAAUUAUCUUCGUCUGAUUCUUCUAUUUCAUUAUUAUUUAUAUCCUUUUCAUUCUCUGAGAACUCGUUUUCUGAUAUCUCAUAUAUGUUGUCUUCACUGCCUAUUUCAUAAUCUACAUAUUCUAUUUGUGUAUAUUUAUCAUUGUCUAUCAUUAUUUCGGUAAUUUAUUUCUUCUUUGGGUUUUUUGGUAAUCUGCAAUCUUUAGCUAAGUGUUCUAGCUUUCCACAAUUAUAACAAGUACAUUCUGUUAGUUUUUUCUUUUUUCUAUAUGGUUUUUUAUGUUUGUAAUUUUUUACAUAAUAUCUUCCUCUUGGUUUCUUAUACUUAUAUUUGGAUUUAUAUCUUUUUCUCUUUCCUUCUUUUUUGUAAUAUUUAUCUGUGCAGCCAAAUUGGGGUGCUAUUCUAUUUUUGCAGCAUGCCAAAUUUUUUACUAAUAUUUUAUCCAUUCUGAUAUUUUUUUUAUAUUUUUCACAUAAUUCUAUAAACCAGUUUUGUAGAAAUUUUAUUCGUGCUCCUAGAGUAUCUGCUAAUUCUGCUUCAUUCCAAUUUUUUAUUAUUUUUGAGCUAAACGGUUCUGGUAAUUUUGUAAAAUAUAAUUUUCUUAUCUCCUUACUUUCAUCCGGACUAUAUGUUCCUUCAUAAUAAUAGUCUCUAAAUGCACAAGUAUAUUCGUCUAUAUAACACAUAUUACAUAUUGCUAAUUUUGUCAUUAAAUUUCUAUUUAUAGUCUUUUCUUUAUUUUGUUCUUCUACUUCUGUUGUCAUACUACUAAAUUCAUUUCUUAUUGCUAUUUUAUAUUUAUUCAAUAUAUCUGUAACUGUUUUUGCAGCUGUACCAUCAAGUUUUUUAUUACUUCUUAAUGUAUCUAAGCUUUCACUUGAUAAAUUUUGUAACCAUAGUUUUACCGUUCCUAUGAGUGUUCUUUCUAUAUAUCCUGGUGUUUCAGCUAUCACUAUUUUAUUAUCUAUUAGUUGUUUUGAGAUAUAUCCUAUCCAUAAUUGGAUUGUUUUAUUUAUAUCUACGACACAAUCUAGAUCUAAAAAAUUACAUUGUUCAGUUAUCUGUCUUGGUGUCCAUUUCCUAUUUAGCCUUUUAUCCCAUAAUGUUUUGUUUCUAUCAUAUGAAUCAUAACUUACUCUGUAAUAGGUUGGGUUCAGUUGUCUUGGAUUUUUUAUUCCUGAUGUACUUGGUUUAUCUUCGGCCAUAUCCCCUGUAUUUAUUUCUGGAUUUAUUUUUAUCUUUUCUGUUUUUUCUAUAAGUUCUGUGUACGUCUCACUUAUUUCCGAAUAGUUUUCUACUAGAUCUUUGUCGUCAUCACUUUGGUCAUUCAUUUCAUUUAUGCUUAUAUUUGGUGGAUUAUCAUGUACCUCUUCUAACUGUAUUUUAAAUUUUUCUAUCUCAUUUGUCAGUCUUAGCUCUUGUUCUUCUUCUUUACGUUUUUCUUUUUCUUUUAGUUUAUUCGUAUAUAGCUGUUUUAGCAUUUCCAAUUCUUUUUCUAAUUCUGUUAUUUUAGUGUUUUUUACUUCUUCUAUCUGUUGUAUUUUUUCUUUAGCUUGCUGUUGUAUUUCUUUAAUUUCUCGUUUUCUAUCUAUUUCUUCGUUUUCUUUUGUUAUUCUAACCAUUGCGGUUAAACUAUAUUCUAGUUUUACAGUUUCUUUUUCAUAUUUUCUAAUUUCUGGGUAAUUUUUUCACUUCCCUUAAUCCAGGGUGUUGUUUUUCUCACUUUAUUAUUUACUCUUUUUGCUCCUAAUCUUUGCUUACACGGGGUAGUAAACCACCAAUGUGUUUUUGUUAUAAUAUGUGGGUAUAACUUAUCUUAAAAUGACAUUCCUAAUAAUAUAUCUUUAUUUGUGAAUUCAUAACUAUAUAUUUCUUCUAUGGUUAAUAUUUUAUCCCAUAUUUGUAUUUUUAGAUUCUUUGCUUUGUAUGUUAUCAUACUUCCUUCAUUGUUAAAUCAUGUUCAUAAGCCAUUCUCUGUAUCUACUAUAGCCGAAGAGUCAAUCAUGGCCACGCGGGUUUAUACGGAUUUUAGUGUCACGGUACAUGGCCGAGACAACACAGCCAAUAUCAUUGAUUUGGUGAUGGUGGAUUUUGAUAUGAUAAUGGGGAUGGAUUGACUUCACUCAUGUUAUGCCAAGUUUGAUUGCUGAACCAGAACUGCUAGGUUUGAAUUUCCAAACGAGCCAGUCAUUAAGUGGAAGGGGGUGAUGUUAUGCCAAAGGGUAGGUUUAUUUCUUACCUUAAGGUUGCGAAUAUAAUCAACAAGGGGUGUGUUUACCACUUGGUCCGAUUCACGAACAUUGAGGCUGAGUCAGCGAGACUUAAGUCUGUGCUAGUUGUGAAUGAAUUUCCAGACGUCUUUUCGGAUGAGCUUCCUGUGAUUCCACCAGACAGGGAGAUUGAUUUGGGAUCGAUGUGAUUCCAUGUACGUAGCCUAUAUCUAUUCCAUCCUACAGAAUGGCUUCGACAGAAUUGAAGGAACUGAAGGAGCAAUUGAAGGAUUUUCUAGAGAAGGGUUUCAUCUGGCCGAAUGUGUUGCCUUGGGGCACACCGAUUCUCUUUGUAAGGAAUAAAGAUGGGUCACUGAUAAUCUGUAUUGACUAUCGGCAGCUCAACAAGGUCAUAAUUAAGAACAAGUACCCACUACCAAGGAUAAAUGACUUGUUUGAUGAGUUGCAAGGUGCUAAGUACUUCUCUAAAAUUGACUUAAGAUCAGGGUAUCAACAAUUGAAGAUCAGGGAGCAGGAUAUUCCAAAAACUGCUUUCCAGACUCUAUAUGGGCACUUUGAAUUUCUAUUAAUGUCUAUUGGGGCUAACAAAUGCCCCGGUAGCUUUCAUGGAUCUUAUGAACCGAGUCUUAAAGCCUUUCCUCGACUCUUUUGUGAUUGUGUUCAUUGGCGAUAUCUUUGUCUAUUCGCGAAGUCGGGAGGACCAUGUCGAUCAUCUUAGGGCAGUUCCGCAAACUCUAAACCAAAACAAAUUGUAUGCAAAGUUUUUGAAAUGUAAAUUUUGUCUUGAAUCUGUCACUUUCUUGGGUCAUGUCGUCUCUAGUGAGGGGAUCAAGGUUGAUCCUCAAAAAAUUGCAGUUGUGAAGAAUUGGCCUAUACCUACAACUCCGAUAGAGAUUUGUAGUUUCUUGAGCUUAGCUGGGUACUACAGAAGGUUCAUGGAUGGGUUUUCUUCUCUUGCCACACCAUUAACUUAAUUUAUGCAGAAAGAAACUAAAUUCCAGUGGUCAGAUGCUUGCGAAAAGAGUUUUCGAGAGUUUAAAUCAAGGUUGACUACGACACCGGUAUUGACCUUACUAGAGGGAAUAUAUGGGCUCGUUGUAUAUUGUGAUGAUUCAAGAGUUAGACUUGGGUGUGUGUAAUGAAACAUGGCAAGGUGAUCGCUUAUUCUUACAAGCAACUCAAGAACCAUAAAAGAAAUUAUCCAACACGACUUAGAACUUUUAGUGGUGGAUUUUGCGUUGAAGAUUUGACAUCAUUAUUUGUAUGGGGUCCAUGCAAACAUAUUCACUGACCAUAAACAAGCUCCAUCAUAUGUUGUUACCGAGACAAUUAUCUUUCUACGUCUAUAAGUACAAAAACAUUUUCUUUGCUUCUUAUUUUUCAAUCCUUGCAAUACUGUUCUUACCGCAAUUUGCAAUUUUUUUAAAGUCUUAUGUAGUUUCAUCUGUAAUUUUUGCUUAGUAGAUUGAAAUUAUUCAACAUUAAAGCCAUGGAAUUCCAGAACCACAACCUUCUAUCAACUACUAUCCCUACUUCACAAAGUCUCGAUACCACCGUGAGGCGUACCACCAUUUUUUGCGAGCUCUAGAGAAGGAAAAAAUACUAGUAUUGACCAUACAGAGUCUUCGAACCCGAAAAAUCUGCAAUCUCCGAAUAACAUGAUCAGUAGCUCAACAGCUGCUGAAAUAUCGGAGAAUCGAUAUUAAUUCUUUGGAAUUAAUUCUUUACCAGUUGCAUAUCAUUCAAGCGUAAUGUACAAGCUGGAUAAAUAAUGUUCAUAAUGGACAAGCCCAAUUCUAGGGUACAGUUACACUUGCUUUGUGUUAAUGUUAAUAACAAUUAGAUUUGAUUUUGUGGUUCUAAAAAUAUGUGAUCUAUUUUUAUGCUAGUUGUUAGGCAAUAGAUGCUAAGUGAAGGAUUAGAAAAUAAGAUAAUAGCUUGUAGACAGUAUAAUAGUCAAACCGAAUGGCUGGAAAUCGGGGCCUUGAGCUUGCGUAUACGAGGCAUCGAGAUCGAGUCGGAUGCCCGGCUAAGGGCAGUUGAUGGAGGAUUAACAGUUAUGAUAAAUUUGAUGGCAGCUAUUUAUGACCAAUAAUGAGCAAUAAAUGAAGAACAAUUAAUGAAAUAUAGCAAAUAUAAGUAAGACAAUAAAUGUAAGCAAUAUGAUCAAACAGAGAGUAUGUUUGAGUUAGAGAGCAGAGAAUGUUCUUAUAUUGAAUGUAGUGUGUAAAAUAUUGUGACUUGUCUACAAAAUGACCAGGAUCCCUUUAUAUAUCAGGGGGAACCCUAUCAUAGUACAAAGUGCAUUUAUUACAAAGACACGUGGAGGAUGCAGUCAUUUAAUGCCAUAGUACGGGCACAUACUAGCUUGUUAGUCUCAAUCAAGUACCUAGGGAAUUUCCUGUUUCUCUAUCAUAGCUGUCGAUCCACAUUUCCCCAGAGUUGGGAAUUUGGAAACCCUAUGAUGUUGUACCUCGAUCUCUACCUCGAGCCCUAGGAAACGUGCCUAUGACGCACCAUGAUGACCACAAAAUUGGCCCCUCUGAUUUUACCGCAUACAGAUAGUCCUCGUGUUUCCUAGAAUAAAAUGAUAGUAAAUGAUUUUGAACUCCUACUUCUUAGGCACUACUAUCAUGACAUCAGCCUAUCAGAGCAUUAAAUGCCAUAACUCAAAAAGCCGCGCAAGGGUCGCUGUCAACACGAUUAUCGAGAAGCCCACAAACCGUUAUUGGUUCGUCCUUUCCGCUGUCCAUAUGGCUUCUAUAAAUACCUCAAUCGUUUAGUGAUUCACACUUUUGCAACACCUUCAAACUUUUAGAGCCAAGGUCAUCCCUUUUCACAUUCUUCUUUCUUCCGUUCUUGGUUCCUCACUUCCUUUCUCAGAAAGAUCUUUCCACCACUAUGGCUAGAACCACUAAAAUAGUGCCUCGAAAAGAGGGUGUUGCCACUUCGUCUUGAACAUCCAAGGGCAAACCCAAAGUGGCCCCCACCGUUGAACAGUGUACCCCUACCGAGUUCGAUACUAUGAACAAUUUUUCUAUCGAGAGACCCUCAUCUACACCGAGCCGAUACGAACAUGUGUCCCGGUAUAUUAGCAUCAUGAUAAAUAUACAAAAAUUGAGGGAAGAUUGUCAAUAGGAGAGGACAGUGCUGGUUGAGAUUCCUAGUUCUAAUGAGGGCAUAACAGAUCAUAAGGUCGGUUUUAUUUAUGUAUAUACAUACCCAUUCACUUUGGGUCAUGUCGAUUCUUUAGAUCCUUCUUCCCCAGCGAUAGAUCUGGUUAUUCUCGACUUCUGUCAUAAGUAUCACGUGAUGCUUGGCCAAAUUUAUCCAUCUUUCUAGAGGAUAGUCUAUAUGCUCCGUUAUUUCUCCAACAAGGUCGUGGGUAUGACUUUCACCCUUGACCACUUGAUUAGACUAUAUACCCUCAUCUUUUUCGAGGUUUGAUUAAGCUUCACCCUCGAUCUACGAAGCCAUUUUUCUCAAGCAUCGAUAAGAACAAGGAUUAGGGGUGGAUGAGCAGGUUUGUCCGAGUGAGGACCUCGGACAUCAUCCCGGCCGAAAGGAUGCCAUUCCCGGAGAAGUGGAAUAUGGAGUGUAAGUGCCUCUCCCUCGAACAUGCUUUACUGUCUUCUUACCUUCUUCUUACAAAAUGAUCUUCCCUUUGUUUAUGCAGCUACCGUUUCAUAUCCUGAAGUGGUCCAGGACCUGUCAGGGUGGAUUAGGCAAUUGAAUACUUCAUUUCCUUAUCUUAGGCGUUCAUGGCCCGACUUGACUAAAACGUGGUGGCCAUCCAAGAAUCACGGUAAGCCUUUUGUUGCCGCUUCUACCAUGUUUCAAUAUCUCUUUUGCAUACCCUCCACGUUGACAAUCUUUGAGUAUUAUGCUUCUGCAGGCCUUGGCGAUGGAGUGCUAAUGAUACCAUCUCCCGACAGUGAGGAAGAUAACUCGAAGCCCAAUAAGGGUAAGAGGAGGAAGAAAGAGGCGCCUGCUGAGUCUCCUACAUCAAAUAAGCCCAAAUCAUACAGACCUUGAUUUGAUGCCAAGGUCUCGACUUCAGCUACUAAGGAAAGUCCCAGUGUUGAGGAUGAAGAUGACGACAAUGAUGAAAACCCUUUGGUACAAAGGAUAAGGUCGGGCACGGAUGCACCGCAGGUGACUGGGCCGAGAGCCGCUGAAUCGGGAACGGCCAAUUCGACUUGAGCCCAUGUUGUAGAGGCCCUCGAGGAGGGUGCGGGUACGAUCCCUGAGUUCCUAACCUGACAUGGUACAGUCCUUGUCGAGGAACCCGUUGCUGAUAUCUCCAAAGGGCCUGGGCCCGAAGAUUUUCGGGGACAGGACUUGCCCUUCGGAGAUAUUGAUGUCCUGGGUGGCCUUAAUUUGGGUCCUCGAUUCUCACCCGGGGAAUUCAGGAAUGCAUAGGACUCAACUGUCACCAAUGUUGGGGGCCUUCAUGAGGGGGAGAUGUGCUUGGAAAAUUCCUCGAUGGUGUUUGUGAGGAUAUUUAUCUCGACGCUCCCGAUGCUAUCGAGGAGGAGGAGAGGCUCCAACAGCAGGCGAUACCUUUUUAUGUAUACUUUUUGUGUUUCAAGUAUUUUUCCUCAUUUUUCUGACUCUUUUGUUUUGUUGUAGGCUAAGAAAAUAUAUGAUCAUGUUAUCUCUAAGCUGCGAGAUGAGCUUAUAUGACGUAGGAAGGAGGUCGAGAAUCUCACCUCGGGGUUAAAGGAGUCGAAAACCUCUUUUGCUCGAAAGGAGGAGGAGCUGAGUAGUCUUUUGGCGAGGUUGGAAGGAAUGUGCCGAGAAAAAGAUAACCUUGCCGAGCAGGUAAUACUGUAUUUGCGAACUUGCUCUUUGUCCUUGUAACUUUGUAUUUUACCAACUUUCUUUUCCCUUGCAGGUCAGGCAAAAGAAUGCCCUCGUGGAGAAGUUUCGAGAGGAGGCAGUUGCCAAGGAUGUAGAGGUUCUCGAUUUGAGGGGACAAAAUGGGGUCGUGGCCUCGGAGAGGGACCUUUUGCAGACGAAGCUAGCAUCGACACGGGACCUUCUACAAAGUGCUAAGGACGAGGUUGAUGCACUAUCGUCGGCUAAGUCUUCGGCAAAAGAAAAGGUGUCCUCAUAUAAGAAAGAUGCCACCACUGCGAAAGAACGAGCUCGAGAGAUAUUAGUGAAGGCCAAGAAAAAGUUGACUCGGGUCGUUGCUUAUGCUUGUGCGCAAGCGAGGAGGCAGGCUCUUGAGGAGGCGAGUGAUAAGGGCGCCGAUCUCUUAGCUGAGACCUAGGAAGCCCAAACCUUGGAGGAAGAAUCUGCUUCUUCGGCCACUUCAGAUGAGGGUUCCGAUGAUGAUGUCAAGGGUAUUGGGGGUGAAGAGUAGACUUAGGUCGUCUUUUUCCCUUUUUGUGCAAGAGUUUCUUAGGGGAAACAUUUUGUAAAUGAUCCUCUGUUGUAAAUGUGUAUUUGGAAAUAUAACAAUUUUUCUACUUCAUGUAUUUUUCUUUCCAUGUUUUAAUGCUUUUGUCUUCCAAUUCUGGUGUUGGCUCUUCGGAGCAUAUACAUGGAGCAGUCGAGGCCUUUGAGAUUGGGAACCAUCUCAAAAUUAGGCCGAUAGUUUCUAUAGGGUCAAUGCCUGUAAUAGCGAAAAUUCUCGGGGUCUAAUGACUUAUGAGCGCUUGCAUGACAGUGUCAUUUAUGUCGCAUGGUUGCAAAGUGAUCAAGGAAUCCCCACCGGUGCACUUCCCAAUAAAUGAUAUUGACAAGGUCAGAUUCCGUUGGUCUCCAGGUCAGGCGAAUAGUCACCGCCUGAUCUAUAUAUGUACUUGUUUUCCCUUUAUUUGAAGAUAUUGCUAUAUUGAACGACUAUCUUCUUUAUAGGGUUCUCCUUUCUUGCGCCAAUUUCCCUUCACCUCAGAGCUUUCGCCUAAGUCUUUUAUUUCCCCUUUCUUUGUUUUACCAUAGCCACGGCUAUUGUGCCCACAUCUGCUUGCCAAGGAGAGGAGGGUUCUUCCCUAGUUUCGCACUCGAUCGGUGGUACACCACCGGCAUCUGGUGAGCUAACAUCGAGGUGCUUUGUCUCGAAGAGGGACUUUACAUUAGUGAAACCUCCCAAUAUUCUGGGCCACCGGGAGCAUACGUCAAGGUUUAUCUCCUUAAUAGGGGAGGAGCAUCUCGAGGCAGUCAGAAAAGACUGCAGACGGGGAGAAGAGGUGGUAUUGCAGGUACCUUCCCUGGAAGAGAGCAUUAUGGCCCAUGUCGAGGGGUUUUUGAAUGUAUAUAUGUACCCAUUUACAUUGGGCCCUCUCGAUAGGGUCGUGCUCGAGUUUUGUAGAAGGUAUCAGGUUACCUUGGCGCAGGCUCACCCAUCCUUUUGGAAGAUAGUACUAAUGAUAAGGUACUUUGUAGAUGAGGUCGGGCUCAAAUUCACCCUUAGUCAUCUCAUUAGGUUAUACCGGCCUUUGCAUUACUGGGGCAUGAUUACUCUGCGAUGCCGAUACACCCGGCCCC
rnacentral:lncRNA from 1 species